AUGAACGCUGGCGGCGUGCUUAACCCAUGCCAGUCGAACGAUGAAGCCCAGCUUGCUGGGUGGAUUAGUGGCGAACGGGUGAGUAACACGUGAGUAACCUGCCCUUGACUCUGGGAUAAGCCUGGGAAACUGGGUCUAAUACUGGAUAUGACUUCUCAUCGCAUGGUGGGGGGUGGAAAGAUUUAUUGGUCUUGGAUGGACUCGCGACCUAUCAGCUUGUUGGUGAGGUAAUGGCUCACCAAGGCGACGACGGGUAGCCGGCCUGAGAGGGUGACCGGCCACACUGGGACUGAGACACGGCCCAGACUCCUACGGGAGGCAGCAGUGGGGAAUAUUGCACAAUGGGCGCAAGCCUGAUGCAGCGACGCCGCGUGAGGGAUGACGGCCUUCGGGUUGUAAACCUCUUUCAGUAGGGAAGAAGCGAGAGUGACGGUACCUGCAGAAGAAGCGCCGGCUAACUACGUG
rnacentral:rRNA from 1 species